rnacentral:rRNA from 1 species
UACAGAGGUGGCAAGCGUUGUCCGGAAUCACUGGGCGUAAAGGGCGCGUAGGUGGCCUGUGGAAGUCUGCGGUGAAAGCCCGGCGCUCAACGCCGGGUCGGCCGUGGAUACUCUCGGGCUCGAGCUUACUAGAGGCAGAUGGAAUUCCGGGUGUAGCAGUGAAAUGCGUAGAGAUGCGGAGGAACACCGAUGGCGAAGGCAGCCCCCUGGGCUGACACUGACGCUCAGGCACGAAAGCUAGGGGAGCGAACGGG